AGAUUUUACAAACAGGAAUUGGCCAAGAAAACAUGUGGAAACACCUGGCUGACCAUCAUCUUAACCAAGUGAUAAGAGUGAACAUCACCAGUAAUGAGACACAUCAUCAUCAUCUGUCUCCUGAUAUGAGGUACUAAGAAGAACAUAGCACACUUCUGUGUUAUUUCUGUCAAAAAUUCAAAAAUCACAAGAAAACAUCAAGCAAACACUCAUGGAGAGACGUUUUACAAAGUAACUGGCCUGUACUCUUCAAAAAUGUCAACUAUAUGAAAGAUAGAAGAGUGAAGAAAUCCCCCAGAUAUUGAGGCAUAAUACAGGACCUUGGGCUCUAAGAUCGGAUUGUUUGCGAAUGAAUUGUGCUCUGCCACCCUGCAGUUGAAUAAUCUCGGGGAAGUUACUUAACAAUUCACUCAUAUUUAAAAUGGGAAUAAUGGCAAUAUCUACUUCCCAGGGUUGUUAUGAGGUUCAAGUGAGAACCUCCAUGUAAAGGGUGAAACCCAGGGCCUGGUACAGAUGAAGGGCUCUGUAAGUAUUAGCCAAUAUGAACUUUUAUUACUGCAUGCUCAGUAAAUGUUUGUUGAAUGCAGAGAUGAUUAUUGUGAGGAUGGGAAACAAGUAAGUAGAGUGAGGCAGCUUCCUAAAGUCAGUCAGAGAAAGUAGCCAUAGGUUUUGGAGACUGAGGAGAAGGGCAUUUGUGACAUGUUCAACUUAGUUUCUCAUUUAAGCAUUCAUUGCUAAGCACUGUGACAGAUCCAGAAGUGGAAACCAUGCUUACCGUCUUUAAGGUGCUUUCAGCAAAGAUGGAGAAAGCAGACAAAAGCCCAGGAGACAUAGCAAAGAAUGUUAGGUAACAGUUAUGAGCGAACUGCUAAACUAUUUGGCUAAACCAUGAGGACUGCAAGAGUUCAGAAAACGUGCAUUGUGGUGCUCAUAACUACUUGCAUUGACCUGAUGAAUUGCACUUCCCAAAGACUGUUUAUGUUAUCUCACUUCAUCCUCCUAACUCUGAAGUAAGCAAGCAGGCAUUAUCAUCUCCAUUUUAGGACAAGCAAGCCAAGGCUCAGAGAAACAAGUGAUUUUCCCAAAGUUGGGAUGUGCACUUGGGUUACUCCUCUACCCUGCUCAGUCUCUAAGGACUGGAGGAGUGAAUCACGAAGGGUUACAGAGAGAGGGAAAUAGACAAAGUCAGAAAAGCAGUUAUACCCAGCGAUCGCAGAUGGAUAUGCUACUCCUCCCUUAAAACCACUGUAUUCUAGAAAACCCUUAAAAGAGGCCUAGAAAAGAUAAAGUAAAAGAUCAAAGGAGAUAUUAGACAUUAAAGAGCAAAAAUAUGUUUGAAAGCCAAAAAUUAACCAGAAACAUGUAUGAUAAAUCACACCAUGAGAAUCGGGGGCUGUCUAUCAAACAGUAACUUGCAUGGCUCAGGAAAUAGUAGAUACAGCCACACUUCUCCUGGAAGUCUGCCUGCACACUGUGAGGUUUUGGCUCCGU
rnacentral:lncRNA from 1 species